rnacentral:rRNA from 1 species
AUACGUAGGGGGCAAGCGUUAUCCGGAAUUAUUGGGCGUAAAGAGUACGUAGGUGGUAUUUUAAGCGCAGGGUUUAAGGCAAUGGCUCAACUAUUGUUCGCCCUGUGAACUGGAACACUUGAGUGCAGGAGGGGAAAGCGGAAUUCCUAGUGUAGCGGUGAAAUGCGUAGAUAUUAGGAGGAACACCGGUGGCGAAGGCGGCUUUCUGGACUGUAACUGACACUGAGGUACGAAAGCGUGGGUAGCAAACAGGAUUAGAUACCCUGGUAGUCCACGCCGUAAACGAUGAGCACUAGGUGUCGGGGUCGCAAGACUUCGGUGCCGCAGUUAACGCAAUAAGUGCUCCGCCUGGGGAGUACGGCCGCAAGGCUAAA